AUUGAACGCUGGCGGCAUGCUUUACACAUGCAAGUCGAACGGCAGCGCGGGCUUCGGCCUGGCGGCGAGUGGCGAACGGGUGAGUAAUACAUCGGAACGUGCCCAGUAGUGGGGGAUAGCUCGGCGAAAGCCGGAUUAAUACCGCAUACGACCUGAGGGUGAAAGCGGGGGAUCUUCGGACCUCGCGCUAUUGGAGCGGCCGAUGGCAGAUUAGCUAGUUGGUGGGGUAAAGGCCUACCAAGGCGACGAUCUGUAGUUGGUCUGAGAGGACGACCAGCCACACUGGGACUGAGACACGGCCCAGACUCCUACGGGAGGCAGCAGUGGGGAAUUUUGGACAAUGGGCGAAAGCCUGAUCCAGCAAUGCCGCGUGUGUGAUGAAGGCCUUCGGGUUGUAAAGCACUUUUGGCGGGAACGAAAAGGACUGUGCCAAUACCACGGUUCGAUGACGGUACCCGCAGAAUAAGCACCGGCUAACUACGUG
rnacentral:rRNA from 1 species